rnacentral:rRNA from 1 species
ACGGGAGGCAGCAGUGGGGAAUAUUGGUCAAUGGGGGCAACCCUGAACCAGCGACGCCGUGUGAGUGAAGAAGUAUUUCGGUAUGUAAAGCUCUAUCAGCAGGGAAGAUAAUGACAGUACCUGACUAAGAAGCACCGGCUAAAUACGUGCCAGCAGCCGCGGUAAUACGUAUGGUGCAAGCGUUAUCCGGAUUUACUGGGUGUAAAGGGAGCGCAGGCGGUACGGCAAGUCUGAUGUGAAAGCCCGGGGCUCAACCCCGGUACUGCAUUGGAAACUGUCGAACUAGAGUGUCGGAGGGGUAAGUGGAAUUCCUAGUGUAGCGGUGAAAUGCGUAGAUAUUAGGAGGAACACCAGUGGCGAAGGCGGCUUACUGGACGAUAACUGACGCUGAGGCUCGAAAGCGUGGGGAGCAAACAGGAUUAGAUACCCUGGUA